GGACAUGGAAGAGCAGCGCAGCGCAGAAGUGAAAAGAGAGUAGUCGACAAGGGAAUCGGGAAACAGUGUGGGCGUUGAUGUGGUGGUUGCGAUGGAGGGUGAGUUUUGUUGUCAUGUGCGUGAUUCCUUUAUGCCUGCCCACCGUGCCACUACUCCGCCUCCUUUUAGCUUCCCUUUGCUACUUGAAAUGGCUCUUCCAGGGGUGAAUCAUUUCAUGUGCCGACGAGGGAAGAGUCACAGCCUCGCACCCA
rnacentral:lncRNA from 1 species